GACAGAGGCCUCAAGCGUUAGGCGGAAUCACUGGGCUUAAAGCGUGUGUAGGCGGAUCGUUAAGUACCUUGUGAAAUCCCACGGCUCAACCGUGGAACGGCUGGGUAUACUGGCGGUCUUGGGCCAUUCAGGGGCGACUGGAACAAGCGGUGGAGCGGUGAAAUGCGUAGAUAUCGCUUGGAACGCCGAAGGUGAAAACAGGUCGCUGGGGAUGUGCCGACGCUGAGACACGAAAGCCAGGGGAGCAAACGGG
rnacentral:rRNA from 1 species